GUGCUGAGGUGGUAUUCCCAUGUCCUCAUCAGGAAACAUAAGUGGUUGUGCAUGACUUUGUCCAGACGAAGGUACGCCAAAACACAUCGUCGGGGUAGCGCCAUCCUGUUUGCACACAGUAUCUUGGGUCAGUUCCAUGCAGCAGUUUCUAGGAUUUUUGUGUAUGGGAAUACAUGUGAUCUUGCUCCCUGGUACUAUAUUACUUCAACCUCCUAUUUAAACCGGUGUUGAUUGUCAUGAUGGAUAUUGACACUUGUUAUUGCUGCAUCAUGUAUAUUAUUUGGGACAUACCCAUAUAAUAUUUAAAAACAUUUUUUAUGUAUGAUUUUGCAGUAUUACUCUCAUAUUAUUCCUGUGUGCUGCCAGGAUGGUGUUUUCUUCUGCCACAUUUCCUUUUAAUGUGACAUUCGUUUUAUAUAAUUUGUGAUUUAAUAAAAUACUUUUUUAAUAAAAUAUUUUUUACGCAUACUUUUUGAGCUCCAUUAUUUGUUUAAGUCUUUUUCUCUGCCUGGGAGCUUGUACCAGGAUAUUUUGUAGCUGGCCCCCUUAUUUAGCCACAAUACUUAUUGGUAUACUACGGGGGAAGUUUUGGCAUGUGGGCCGCUCUUGGUCUUCUUCUGCAUUUAUAUAUUAUAGUAUUGUUUUUAAAUAAUAAAAUGCAAUUAAAAAAUAUUGAAACCUCG